rnacentral:misc_RNA from 1 species
GGAUGAAGAACGCAGCGAAAUGCGAUAAGUAGUGUGAAUUGCAGAAUUCAGUGAAUCAUCGAAUCUUUGAACGCACAUUGCGCCCCUUGGUAUUCCAUGGGGCAUGCCUGUUCGAGCGUCAUUUGUACCUUCAAGCCUUGCUUGGUGUUGGGUGUUUGUCUCGCCUCUGCGCGCAGACUCGCCUCAAAACAAUUGGCAGCCGGCGUAUUGAUUUCGGAGCGCAGUACAUCUCGCGCUUUGCACUCAGAACGACGACGUCCAAAAGUACAUUUUUACACUCUUGACCUCGGAUCAGGUAGGGAUACCCGCUGAACUUAAGCAUAUCAAUAAGCGAGGA